UAGGAAUACAAUUCAAACUCU
rnacentral:piRNA from 1 species